AUAGAAAAAAAUACUACUUUUAUACUUUUGCAGCUAAAUAAAGUUAUUAAUAUUAUGGUUCCAUAUUUCCAUUCCAUAAGAAAAAAACACACACGUUUUCUCUAUUUUCGUGAUUUCAUCGGUCAGCAGUGUUGCUAGUAAAAUUAUUAAUAUAAAACGUAACAUGCAUUUAUUUGCUUUUGGCGGGGAAAAAUUUAUGCUCUCAGUCACUUUCUCGCUUUCGAAUUACGCCACAAGCCACAUCCCACUUGAAACACACAUUAUAGUGUAUGAAAGACCAUAUUGCCCUUUAACUAAAGGAGAACCAACUUUACUUCUUUCUUUUCUCUAUCUUCUCAUUUUCUUAAUCGGUUAAUCAAAACAACACGUGACCCUUUCUUCUUCUAUAUUUUUACUUUACCAAUUCAAAAACUCUAAUCCCUCAAAUUCAUUCUUCCAGAAACUUGCGUAGGAUUCUUGCGUAUUUCUAUCAAAGUCACCACCUCUCGAGAUGCAUGUUCUUCUUAGAACUUUGAGCAGGACAAAAAAUUCCUGACAACCGUCUCCCACCGAUGAUGUUUGCGACUGACCACAACCGUCUCCCUUGUGGUCAGCCAAUACGGCACACUACAUUACGUCCACAACUCCCCUUACAUGGCUAGCCGUCCACAACUCACACGUCCACAACUCUCCCGUCUUCAACUCUUCUGUCCACACACCACUCGUCCACACCUCACUCGUCCACGACUAUCCCGUCUACAAUUCCACCGAACACCUUUCCGCUGUGUGUGCUCCUGCAUCUCCUCAACCAUAUUCUGCUUUGUACUAUAGUAGCGCUCAUAGGCUAAAUCUGCAGGACUCUCCACCUCAUCCAACAUGUUAUACUUUGUAUGAUAGUAACGCUCUAAACUUAAUCUGUCACAAAGAGAGUCUAGAGCUUCCUCACAUACGAGACGAAGAAUUUCAUGUCAUUGUCGUCAUGUAAUGCCAAGCUUAUUUUUAACAUCAGCCGUCAGAUUAAAAAAUUAUUUUUCAUCUUA